rnacentral:lncRNA from 1 species
GACUAGCACGAUUUGAGCUGCAACAUAAUGCAGAUCACAACAGGCUUAAGGCAGUAGGCAGCAGUGUUUACGACAAACAAAAAGAAAGCAAUGCUCAAAAUGUAUGUAUGCAUUGGCAGUGUGGAAAGUUUAGGCUCAUCUUGCUAAAAUCCCUAUGCAGAGUUGCAUACAUUCAUCAAAGAGGAAAGAUUUUGAAUGUUUCUUUGGUCAAUUGAUACAAUGAGUACACGAGAAAAGGAAAAAGACGAAAAAGAAAUCUCAAGUCAGAGGAUACGCCUGAAUGAUCCAAGAGGCAUGGGGAAUUGGCUUCAUUAGAACCCAGCAGGACAGUCAGGGGGGAGGACCACGCCUUAGAGAGAACCUCGACCAUCACCAUUAGAGAAUAAGAGCACAACAAGAACAGCACGAGAGGACACUGGGGAACAUUUUUCUUAUCCAUCGCCUUACCAUAAGAGAAAUUAGAGAGUGACCACCAUCAUUCACCAUUCACUACCGGGAGGAGACAGUGAUAUAGUUAUUCACUCCUCACUGAAUCAAGGGAUCAUCACCCAUUCCUUGGGAGAGAACAUCGUUCACCUGCAAAGAGAAGGGAAGAACACGUCAGCCAGAGGAAGAGGAAAGAGAUCGUCGGAGAUAUUAGACUAACAAUAGCAAAGGAAGCUUCGAGAGGUAAGCAUCACCUCCCUCAUUAUUGUUGUCAUGCUCUAAUAUACUGGGUUUGUUGCAUUGUAUACUUUGUUGCAUGUUUGUGGUUGCUCUAUUCGCGUAUGUUGUGUUGAUAUUCCAUUAUACUUCUUAUCUAUUAAACUUCUCCAUAAGAAUUUCAUCAUGGCUAAUGAGCUUCAGAACGAGACCACCAUUUUCUUGCACAUCUCUUAGCCUCCGGGACUUUGAGGCUUCCUCCCCUUUACUUAGAAACCAGCUCAUCUAGAAAUAACAAAAACC